AUUUCAAAAGUAACGAAAUUGAAAUUGAAUUAUUUUAUUUAGCUAAUUGGUACGUGGACGAGGCGAAAAACAUGCCUUUGUGUGGAAAUUCAUCUGGAGCAGGGCAGUGCCUUCCUGGUUACACGUGUUUACAAGGAUACGGUGAAAAUCCGAAUUACGGUUACACGAGUUUCGAUACCUUCGGCUGGGCAUUGUUAUCCGCCUUUCGUCUGAUGACGCAAGAUUAUUGGGAAAAUCUGUACCAAUUGGUGCUUAGAUCGGCCGGCCCAUGGCAUAUGUUGUUCUUCAUCGUGAUCAUUUUUCUUGGCUCGUUUUAUCUCGUCAACUUGAUUCUUGCUAUUGUCGCGAUGUCUUACGAUGAAUUGCAGAAGAAAGCUGAGGAAGAGGAAGCAGCCGAGGAGGAAGCUAUAAGAGAAGCCGAGGAAGCAGCACUGGCGAAGGAGAACAAAUUAGCGGCACAAGCGGCAGCCCGAGAGGCGGCAGCACAUGCGGCGGUGACCGCCGCUGACCAGAUAGUCAAAUCUCCAUCAGACUUCUCGUGUCACAGCUACGAAUUGUUCGUCGGUCAGGAGAAAGGGAACGACGAUAACAACAAGGAGAGGAUGAGCAUACGUUCGAUCGAAUCGGUCAGCGAGCACAGAGUGAAACAGAUCAACAAUCACACGACCACCACUAAAGUGCGAAAAGUCAGCGCCGUCUCUCGCGCCGCUAAUGGCCAGUUUACUUAUGCCUACCAGGAAAGCCUGCGGAAGGCGAGCCUUAGUCUGCCUGGCUCACCGUUCAAUCUUCGCCGGAGCAGCCGCGGUAGCCAUCAGUUCACGAUCAGAAAUGGGAGGGGCCGUUUCGUCGGGCCGCCCGGCGGUGACCGGAAGCCGUUGGUACUGUCCACGUUCCUCGACGCCCAGGAACACCUGCCCUACGCUGAUGACUCGAACGCGGUCACGCCUAUGUCCGAGGAGAACGGCACGAUCGUUGUGCCCGUCUACUACGCGAAUCUUGGGUCCAGGCAUUCUUCGUACACGUCGCACGCCUCACGCCUCUCGUACACGUCUCACGGUGAUCUGAUCGGCGGGAUAGCGAACGCGGGGAAACCUAUGACCAAGGAGAGCCAGUUGAGGAUCAGAUCUGUCAGGCCGCCGUCUGUCAAUGGACAUUUCACGGAUAAUAAUCAGAAGUACCAUUACGAGGGUGAUCUGGAAGAUCCAAUGGGCAAGGCAAAGCAACAAGACAAUCCGUUUAUAGAGCCUUCUCAACAACAUGCCGUGGUUGAUAUGAAAGACGUGAUGGUGUUGAACGAUAUCAUAGAACAGGCGGCGGGACGACAGAGCAGAACUCCGGAGCAAGGAGUUUCUUCGACCUAUUACUUUCCGACAGACGACGAUGAAGAAGGGCCGACAUUUAAGGACAAAUUAUUGACCGCGGUGCUACGUUGCAUCGAUAUCUUCUGCGUGUGGGACUGUUGCUGGUUGUGGCUUGAGUUUCAAAAAUACGUGGCUCUUUUGGUGUUCGAUCCAUUCGUAGAGUUGUUCAUCACCCUUUGUAUCGUCGUCAACACACUAUUCAUGGCACUUGAUCAUCAUGAUAUGGACAAGGAUAUGGAAAGGGUGCUCAAGACGGGAAAUUAUUUCUUCACGGCAACAUUCGGUAUCGAGGCAACGCUCAAGCUGAUAGCAAUGAGUCCGAAAUUUUACUUUCAAGAAGGAUGGAAUAUAUUCGACUUCAUUAUCGUCGCUCUCUCGCUCCUGGAAUUAGGAUUAGAAGGUGUACAAGGUCUUUCCGUGUUGCGAUCGUUCAGAUUGUUGAGAGUGUUCAAACUGGCAAAGUCGUGGCCUACGUUGAAUCUGUUAAUUUCGAUCAUGGGUAGAACAGUGGGCGCCCUGGGUAAUCUGACGUUCGUGUUGUGCAUCAUUAUCUUCAUUUUCGCCGUGAUGGGUAUGCAAUUGUUCGGCAAGAACUACACUGACAACGUGGAUCGAUUCCCGGAUGGUGAUCUACCAAGAUGGAAUUUCACCGAUUUUAUGCAUUCGUUCAUGAUCGUCUUUCGUGUACUCUGCGGAGAAUGGAUCGAGUCUAUGUGGGACUGUAUGCUUGUGGGCGACGUUUCUUGCAUACCGUUCUUUCUGGCCACCGUCGUCAUCGGUAAUCUGGUUGUGCUGAAUCUCUUCUUGGCUUUGUUGCUGAGCAACUUCGGCUCGUCGAAUCUAUCGGCGCCGACCGCAGACAACGAUACGAACAAGAUCGCGGAAGCGAUCGAUCGAAUAGCACGAUUCGUUAAGUGGAUCAAGCGAAAUGUCCUUUAUCUUGCUAAAAUGAUGCGAGCCAAACUCACCAAUCAGAUAUCCGAUCAGGCGCCAGGUGAGGGACCGUCCAACAGUUGGAAAGAAGAUGGAAUUGAUCGCGAUGGGGACCUAGAUCUUGCAGAUGGCGAACUCGAUGCGUAUAGAGAUAAGAAGAGUGCCAAGGAGCUGAACCAAUUAGAAGUUGCUAUUGGGGAUGGAAUGGAAUUUACGAUUCAUGGAGACCUAAAGAAUAAAUUGAAGAAGGGUAAAUUGUGCAUGAACAACAGCAAAGUUAUAGCAAAUUCGAUAAAUCAUCGUGACUACAGGCUGGAUAAUGAUUACAUUAAUCAAAAUGAGGAUGAUACCAUCAGUAAUAAAUCAUAUGGCAGCCAUAAAAAUAGGGCGUUCAAGGACGAAAGUCAUAAGGGGAGCAUGGAUUCAUUGGAUGGAGAAGAAAAGAAGGAUGCGAGCAAAGAAGAUUUAGAACAAGAAGAAGACCUUGGUGAAGAAGGAGAGGAAGGAGAAGGUGUUAUAGGCGAUGCGAUUAUCCAAGCAGAGGAAGAUCCCAUCGAAUCCGAUUAUCCAGCUGAUUGUUGUCCAGAAAAUUGUUACAAGAAGUUCCCAUUCUUAGCUGGCGAUGACGACGCACCGUUUUGGCAGGGUUGGGCGAAUUUGAGACUGAAGACCUUCCAACUAAUUGAGAACAAGUAUUUUGAGACUGCCGUCAUUUUGAUGAUCCUUUUGAGUAGUAUGGCUCUCGCCUUGGAAGAUGUGCAUCUUCAACAACGACCCAUUCUGCAAGAUAUCUUGUACUACAUGGACCGAAUAUUUACUGUGAUUUUUUUCAUCGAAAUGUUAAUCAAAUGGUUGGCUCUUGGCUUCAAAAAAUACUUCACGAAUGCUUGGUGCUGGCUUGAUUUUAUCAUUGUCAUGGUGUCACUCAUUAACUUCGUAGCGUCGCUCUGUGGCGCUGGCGGGAUCCAAGCCUUCAAAACAAUGAGGACCCUAAGGGCCCUAAGGCCACUCAGGGCGAUGUCUAGAAUGCAGGGAAUGCGGGUAGUCGUCAACGCUUUGGUUCAAGCCAUUCCAUCCAUUUUCAACGUGUUACUGGUGUGUCUUAUCUUCUGGUUGAUCUUCGCCAUUAUGGGUGUACAGCUUUUUGCCGGCAAAUAUUUUAAGUGUGUAGAUGCGAAUAAAACAACACUCAGCCAUGAAAUCAUUCCUGAUCGAAAUGCCUGCUUGGCUGAGAACUACACUUGGGAAAAUUCUCCAAUGAAUUUCGACCACGUAGGAAAAGCUUAUUUAUGCUUGUUUCAAGUGGCUACAUUCAAAGGAUGGAUUCAGAUCAUGAACGAUGCCAUCGACUCUAGGGAGCUCAACAAACAACCAAUUCGUGAAACGAACAUCUACAUGUAUUUCUAUUUUGUAUUCUUCAUUAUAUUCGGAUCGUUUUUUACCCUUAAUCUAUUCAUUGGUGUGAUCAUCGAUAACUUUAACGAACAAAAGAAAAAGGCAGGAGGUUCCCUCGAGAUGUUCAUGACAGAAGAUCAAAAGAAAUAUUACAACGCUAUGAAAAAGAUGGGUAGCAAGAAACCACUUAAAGCCAUUCCACGUCCAAGGUGGAGACCGCAAGCAAUAGUGUUUGAAAUAGUGACAGACAAAAAGUUCGAUAUGAUAAUUAUGUUGUUCAUCGGAUUGAACAUGCUUACAAUGACGUUGGACCAUUAUCAACAAACUCAGACUUUCAGCGAUGUUCUGGACUAUCUAAACAUGAUAUUCAUUGUGAUAUUCACCAGCGAGUGUCUCAUGAAGAUCUUUGCUCUACGUUACCACUAUUUCAAGGAGCCAUGGAAUCUCUUUGAUUUUGUUGUUGUUAUAUUGUCAAUAUUAGGUCUGGUCCUCAGCGAUAUUAUUGAGAAAUACUUCGUAUCGCCAACAUUGCUUCGUGUAGUAAGGGUGGCAAAAGUCGGUCGUGUGCUUCGACUCGUGAAAGGUGCCAAGGGUAUUCGAACUCUUCUUUUCGCCUUGGCGAUGUCGUUACCAGCUCUCUUCAAUAUUUGCCUAUUACUGUUUUUGGUGAUGUUUAUCUUUGCAAUUUUUGGAAUGUCGUUCUUCAUGCACGUGAAAGACAAGAGCGGACUGGAUGAUGUGUACAAUUUUAAAACGUUUGGACAGUCGAUGAUAUUGUUAUUCCAGAUGUCAACGUCCGCUGGUUGGGACGGUGUUCUUGACGGUAUAAUAAACGAAGAGGACUGCCAGGAACCAAACAACGAGAUAGGAUAUCCGGGCAAUUGUGGUUCGUCUACGAUCGGCAUUGCCUAUCUUCUCUCGUAUUUGGUGAUCAGCUUUUUAAUCGUGAUAAAUAUGUACAUCGCCGUAAUCUUGGAGAACUACUCUCAAGCGACCGAGGAUGUGCAGGAAGGUUUGACGGAUGACGAUUACGAUAUGUACUACGAGAUCUGGCAACAGUUUGAUCCAGACGGGACACAGUACAUCAGAUACGAUCAGUUGUCCGAUUUCUUGGACGUGCUCGAGCCGCCACUGCAGAUACACAAGCCGAACAAGUACAAGAUCGUAUCGAUGGACAUUCCUAUAUGCAAAGGAGAUAUGAUGUUCUGCGUGGACAUCUUGGACGCUCUCACCAAAGACUUCUUCGCGCGUAAGGGUAAUCCGAUCGAGGAGACAGCAGAGAUCGAGGUUCAAACGCGUCCAGGUGAGACUGGUUAUGAACCGGUCUCUUCUACUUUGUGGCGUCAGCGCGAAGAAUAUUGCGCGCGUUUGAUCCAGAACGCUUGGAGAAAACACAAACAGCAGCGUCUAGGCGGACCCAGCGAAGAAAGCGAUGACGCUGACACGGAUCCACGAGUCAGACAAACCGCAGUCUUAGUCGAGAGUGACGGUUUUGUAACGAAAAAUGGCCACAGAGUUGUCAUCCACAGCCGAUCGCCGAGCGUAACCUCGAGAACCGCGGACGUCUGAUCGGCGUCCAUAAUGUCUCCAGCACCGCCACCGUCGUAGCAAGCGCCACCACGAACCACAAAUUGGCGGCGUCCGUGCGACGAUCGCUCCAUCUGCAGCAUCGCCGAUUAACAGCUAUAGAAUUACCGACAGACGCGUCGAUUUCACGCAGCGUCUGCAGUGCUGAUACUGCUCGCGAGGAGCAGCGGCCUCACGGACCUCGCGCGCGCUCUCCAUCGACAGCCUUAUAGUUGUAUAAAAAAUAAAAGAAAGAAAAAAACAAAAAAAAAAUAAAAUAAAAUAAAAAAAAUAAAAAAUACAUUCCUCCAACGAGUUGCCUUUAAUCUACUGUAAACGCUACGAUCGUUGGGAAAGACACGUCGCUAGCUGAUGAACACACGAGCGAGGACUAGGAUACACGAGACAUGUGUUUGUUUGUCCUGAACGAGUCAAAAACGGGGCGCAAAUAAUAAGAUGAUAAAGAGAAACAUAAAGUUAUCAUCAAUCGUCCGUGUUCGUUAUCGGAUUGGUUCGGCUCUCGUUCCGUGGUGCAAGAGGAAUUCAUGGAAUCGCAAUUGAAAAAUAAGAUUUGGCUAUGAAACGAAGAUACGGAUAGACAUACGAAGAGGAAUCGAAGGACAAGAACUUUAACAGGAAAGAACGCAUAUAAAGAAUAUAAUGAUAGUCGGUGUAUAGAGAAAAGUGUAUUUGACUCUGUACAACGUAACCUUCGAGUCGACUUCCCCCCCUUUAAAAAUAAAUCAGGGCUCGAAGAAAUCGUACGAUGACGAUGACGAUCCGCGCCGGCUGCGUUAGCUGCACGCAUACUCGAGACGCAAUGAAAUGAAAAAUCUUUUCACGUGACCGACAAUGAAAUGAAGAUCUACGGUGGGAUAGUUGAUAUUGCCGCGUUUGCAAAAAGAAAAAAAAAAGAAGAGAGAGAGAGAAAAAUGAGCGAUCGUUUCUCAUCGUUUCUCUAAAAGAAAACUUAUCGGUAGAGCCGAUUCGUAAAAUUCUAUCCGCGUAUAUUGGAUUUUUUACACGAUUUUGACAGCGACUCGCCAACUCGCUGGCAAAUACAACAUAAACGAAAAGAAGUUAAAAAAAUAUAUAGAAAUGUAAUAAAAAAAAAAUCAAUGUUGAUUCGCUGCGGUCGAGGUUCGUGGGUGACAUUUGUUCAUUUAUUUGUUAUUCUGGUCAUCGUACUGUGGUGUAUAAUAAAUACGAGAAAGUUUUUUGAACUUAAUUAACUGA
rnacentral:misc_RNA from 1 species